AAUCUUGGACAAUGGGGGGAACCCUGAUCCAGCCAUUCCGCGUGUGCGAUGAAGGCCUUCGGGUUGUAAAGCACUUUUGGCAGGGAAGAAAUUGCGCGGGCUAAUACCCUGCGUGGAUGACGGUACCUGCAGAACAAUCACCGGCUAGCUACGUGCCAGCCGCCGCGGUAAUACGUAGGGUGCAAGCGUUAAUCGGAAUUACUGGGCGUAAAGGGUGCGCAGGCGGCUCGGAAAGAAAGAUGUGAAAUCCCAGGGCUCAACCUUGGAACUGUAUUUUUAACUACCGGGCUAGAGUGUGUCAGAGGGAGGUGGAAUUCCGCGUGUAGCAGUGAAAUGCGUAGAUAUGCGGAGGAACACCGAUGGCGAAGGCAGCCUCCUGGGAUAACACUGACGCUCAGGCACGAAAGCGUGGGGAGCAAAC
rnacentral:rRNA from 1 species